UACGUAGGGGGCAAGCGUUUGUCCGGAAUCAUUGGGCGUAAAGAGCGUGUAGGCGGCCCGAUAAGUCCGCUGUGAAAGUCCAGGGCUCAACCCUGGGAUGCCGGUGGAUACUGUCGGGCUCGAGUCCGGAAGAGGAGUGUGGAAUUCCUGGUGUAGCGGUGAAAUGCGCAGAGUAUCAGGAGGAACACCAAUGGCGAAAGGCGGCAUCCUGGACCAACACUGACGCUGAGUGAGCGAAAGCCAGGGGGAGCAAAACGGGG
rnacentral:rRNA from 1 species